rnacentral:rRNA from 1 species
GUGUCAGCCGCCGCGGUAAUACGUAGGUGGCAAGCGUUGUCCGGAUUUACUGGGCGUAAAGGAUGCGUAGGCGGAUAUUUAAGUGAGAUGUGAAAUCCCCGGGCUUAACUUGGGAGCUGCAUUUCAAACUGCAUGUCUAGAGUGUAGGAGAGGAAAGCAGAAUUCCUGGUGUAGCGGUGAAAUGCGUAGAGAUGAGGAAGAAUACCAGUGGCGAAUGCGGCUUUCUGGACUGUAACUGAAGCUGUGGCAUGAAAGCGUGGGGAGCAA